rnacentral:misc_RNA from 1 species
CCAAUAGCGUAUAUUAAAGUUGUUGUGGUUAAAAAGCUCGUAGUUGAACCUUGGGCCUGGCUGGCCGGUCCGCCUCACCGCGUGUACUGGUCCGGCCGGGCCUUUCCCUCUGUGGAACCUCAUGCCCUUCACUGGGUGUGACGGGGAAGCAGGACUUUUACUGUGAAAAAAUUAGAGUGCUCCAAGCAGGCCUAUGCUCGAAUACAUUAGCAUGGAAUAAUAAAAUAGGACGUGCGGUUCUAUUUUGUUGGUUUCUAGGACCGCCGUAAUGAUUAAUAGGGACAGUCGGGGGCAUCAGUAUUCAAAUGUCAGAGGUGAAAUUCUUGGAUUUAUUGAAGACUAACUACUGCGAAAGCAUUUGCCAAGGAUGUUUUCAUUAAUCAGGAACGAAAGUUAGGGGAUCGAAGACGAUCAGAUACCGUCGUAGUCUUAACCAUAAACGAUGCCGACCGGCGAUCCGCUGUCGUUACUUGAAUGACUCAGCGGGCAGCCUCCG